AGAGUUUGAUCCUGGCUCAGGACGAAUUUUGGCGGCGCGCCUAACACAUGCAAGUCGAACGAGCGAGAGAGAGCUUGCUUUCUCGAGCGAGUGGCGAACGGGUGAGUAACGCGUGAGGAAUCUGCCUCAAAGAGGGGGACAACAGUUGGAAACGACUGCUAAUACCGCAUAAGCCCACGGUGCCGCAUGGCACAGAGGGAAAAGGAGCAAUCCGCUUUGAGAUGGCCUCGCGUCCGAUUAGCUAGUUGGUGAGGUAACGGCCCACCAAGGCAACGAUCGGUAGCCGGACUGAGAGGUUGAACGGCCACAUUGGGACUGAGACACGGCCCAGACUCCUACGGGAGGCAGCAGUGGGGAAUAUUGCACAAUGGGGGAAACCCUGAUGCAGCGACGCCGCGUGGAGGAAGAAGGUCUUCGGAUUGUAAACUCCUGUUGUUGGGGAAGAUAAUGACGGUACCCAACAAGGAAGUGACGGCUAACUACGUGCCAGCAGCCGCGGUAAAACGUAGGUCACAAGCGUUGUCCGGAAUUACUGGGUGUAAAGGGAGCGCAGGCGGGAAGACAAGUUGGAAGUGAAAUCUAUGGGCUCAACCCAUAAACUGCUUUCAAAACUGUUUUUCUUGAGUAGUGCAGAGGUAGGCGGAAUUCCCGGUGUAGCGGUGGAAUGCGUAGAUAUCGGGAGGAACACCGGUGGCGAAGGCGGCCUACUGGGCACCAACUGACGCUGAGGCUCGAAAGUGUGGGUAGCAAACAGGAUUAGAUACCCUGGUAGUCCACACCGUAAACGAUGAUUACUAGGUGUGGGAGGAUUGACCCCUUCAGUGCCGCAGUUAACACAAUAAGUAAUCCACUUGGGGAGUACGACCGCAAGGUUGAAACUCAAAGGAAUUGACGGGGGCCCGCACAAGCAGUGGAGUAUGUGGUUUAAUUCGACGCAACGCGAAGAACCUUACCAAGUCUUGACAUCCCUUGACAGACAUAGAAAUAUGUAAUCUCUUCGGAGCAAGGAGACAGGUGGUGCAUGGUUGUCGUCAGCUCGUGUCGUGAGAUGUUGGGUUAAGUCCCGCAACGAGCGCAACCCUUAUGGUCAGUUACUACGCAAGAGGACUCUGGCCAGACUGCCGUUGACAAAACGGAGGAAGGUGGGGAUGACGUCAAAUCAUCAUGCCCUUUAUGACUUGGGCUACACACGUACUACAAUGGCGUUAAACAAAGAGAAGCAAGACCGCGAGGUGGAGCAAAACUCAGAAACAACGUCCCAGUUCGGACUGCAGGCUGCAACUCGCCUGCACGAAGUCGGAAUUGCUAGUAAUCGUGGAUCAGCAUGCCACGGUGAAUACGUUCCCGGGCCUUGCACACAAAGCCCGUCA
rnacentral:rRNA from 1 species